rnacentral:lncRNA from 1 species
UGAAGCUAAGGUCCAAACGCAUUUGACGAAUACACAGUAAUGAAGAGACGAAUCUGACAUUGAGAAGCAGCAAUCAAAUUCCAAAUAUGACUAAAACUAUAAAAUAAUUAUAUAAAUCCUCCAUCUUAAACACAAACCAUAACAUAACUCCAACUCAGAUGGUUGCUAAUGGCUGUUGUGGUUGGGAUCAAGUGAAGAAGCAGUGGUUGUUGGUUUUGGAUUGUUUAUUUUGUUGAACAACUGAAGGGUUGCUGUGUGUUGUUGUUGGAAUGAGAGAUGAAGGUUGCCUACAGGUUGAUGAAGAAGAUGAAGGGCAGGGAGGGAUCAUGUAUAGAAGAUGAGGUCAAAGGAGUGGGUCUCAUGAAAAGCUGCGCUUCUCAUUUUUGUUUUCCCCAGGCGUUAUUUUUUU